GCCUGGGUAGCUCAGUUGGUUAAGCAUCUGACUCUUGGUUUUGGCUCAGGUCACGAACUCAGGGUUAUGGGAUCGAGCCCCAUGCCAGGCU
rnacentral:tRNA from 1 species